UACGUAGGGUGCAAGCGUUGUCCGGAAUUAUUGGGCGUAAAGAGCUCGUAGGCGGUUUGUCGCGUCGGCUGUGAAAGCCCGGAGCUCAACUCCGGGUCUGCAGUCGAUACGGGCAGACUUGAGUGUUGCAGGGGAGACUGGAAUUCCUGGUGUAGCGGUGAAAUGCGCAGAUAUCAGGAGGAACACCGGUGGCGAAGGCGGGUCUCUGGGCAACAACUGACGCUGAGGAAGCGAAAGCGUGGGGAGCGAACAGG
rnacentral:rRNA from 1 species